UUUGUACAUCCUAGGACGACUUCUGGAGACAGAUUUCUUCCCUUCGGGGACCUAGUGACAGGUGCUGCAUGGCUGUCGUCAGCUCGUGUCGUGAGAUGUUGGGUUAAGUCCCGCAACGAGCGCAACCCUCGUCCUUAGUUGCCAUCAUUAAGUUGGGCACUUUAAGGAAACUGCCGGUGAUAAGCCGGAGGAAGGUGGGGAUGACGUCAAGUCCUCAUGGCCCUUACAGGCUGGGCUACACACGUGCUACAAUGGCAUCUACAGUGGGCAGCUAUUCCGCAAGGAUGCGCUAAUCUCCAAAAGAUGUCUCAGUUCGGAUUGUCCUCUGCAACUCGAGGGCAUGAAGGCGGAAUCGCUAGUAAUCGCGGAUCAGCAUGCCGCGGUGAAUACGUUCCCAGGCCUU
rnacentral:rRNA from 1 species